rnacentral:rRNA from 1 species
UACAGAGGUCUCAAGCGUUGUUCGGAUUCAUUGGGCGUAAAGGGUGCGUAGGCGGCGCGGUAAGUCGGGUGUGAAAUCUCGGAGCUUAACUCCGAAACUGCAUUCGAUACUGCCGUGCUUGAGGACUGGAGAGGAGACUGGAAUUUACGGUGUAGCGGUGAAAUGCGUAGAUAUCGUAAGGAAGACCAGUGGCGAAGGCGGGUCUCUGGACAGUUCCUGACGCUCAUGCACGAAAGCUAGGGUAGCGAACGGG